rnacentral:rRNA from 1 species
UACGUAGGGUGCAAGCGUUGUCCGGAAUUAUUGGGCGUAAAGAGCUCGUAGGCGGUCUGUCGCGUCUGGUGUGAAAACUCAGGGCUUAACCCUGAGCUUGCAUCGGGUACGGGCAGACUAGAGUGCGGUAGGGGAGACUGGAAUUCCUGGUGUAGCGGUGAAAUGCGCAGAUAUCAGGAGGAACACCGGUGGCGAAGGCGGUUCUCUGGGCCUGUACUGACGCUGAGGAACGAAAGCGUGGGGAGCGAACAGG